UAUUGGUACACAAAACUGGUAGAUCGGCCCAUUAGUCAUGAUUGAUUCUGGGCUGGACCAAUUACAGCCGAGGGCCGAUGCCCCCUCCCACUUGGGCCUCGGCUGCCAGUCAAUCAAUCAUACAGAGAGAGGAGAUUGAUAAAAUUGAGAAGAAACUCAAAGGAGGUGCGGAAAAAAUAAGAGAGAAAAAGAGACAAGCCCUUUAGGAAGAUGCUGCCAAAUGUGUUAAAAUAACGCAGAUGUUUGCUGGCUAUGGUGGAGCUUCUUCAGCGGCAGCAUCAGUGACCACACCCGCACUGGUAUCCAAAGCAGCCGCAGCAGGUAAUGAGGUGAAGGGGAGGCAGGAGGAGGAGACCCGCGGCCGCCGCAUUAUAUGACGACGGCACAGUCGGUGCGACUGGAGGGGAAUUUGAACUUCAGGUUGCCAUGUUUGAGGAAGUAUUAUGUGUUGCUGUGCUGUUUAUUGAUGUGGUGAGUACAUAGUCUAUGAAAAUAUUACUAAAUCUGUCAUUUAUUCAUUUUAAUAUUCAUCAAUGAUCAUGUCUCACCUCUGUUCCUCACUGUCCAAUUUUCAGGAUCCCAUCAUACGUUGUUCAUUGUUCAGGAGGUUCACUAGACCAAGCAGCCUUUUGGGUUCCUCUAAGCUUCAUUGUCUUUCCAUCAAUACCUGGUGGGCCGGACUAGGCUCAAAAUGCCCGGGCCGAUUUUUUGUCCCAGUCCAGCCC